GCCCGAGUAGCUCAGCCGGUUAGAGCACUUGACUGUUAAUCAGGGGGUCGUUGGUUCGAGUCCAACCUCGGGCGCCA
rnacentral:tRNA from 1 species